rnacentral:lncRNA from 1 species
UUCAUCAACGAGCGGCAGGAAACGGAGGUCAAACAUCAACAAUCAAAGGUCUUGAUUCAUCUUGAAUCAAGGGGAAAGGAGAAGAAGUAUCAUUCAACAUAUUGCGAAAUUCUGUUGUUUACAUACUCUGCACUCCUUGUAAAAACGAUUAAACAUCACAGGUUAUAUCUAUUGAUCAUCUCAAUUCUAUUUUUAGAAUUGAGGGCAGACGUACCCCGAAGCGAGGACGGCGGGGGAACUGCCUCAUCA